UACGGGGGGGGCAAGCGUUGUUCGGAAUUACUGGGCGUAAAGGGCUCGUAGGCGGCCAACUAAGUCAGACGUGAAAUCCCUCGGCUUAACCGGGGAACUGCGUCUGAUACUGGAUGGCUUGAGGUUGGGAGAGGGAUGUGGAAUUCCAGGUGUAGCGGUGAAAUGCGUAGAUACCUGGAGGAACACCGGUGGCGAAGGCGGCAUCCUGGACCAAUUCUGACGCUGAGGAGCGAAAGCCAGGGGAGCAAACGGG
rnacentral:rRNA from 1 species